rnacentral:rRNA from 1 species
AUGGCGAUUCGAAGGGGUACUUGGCUUCGUGGUACUUGGGUCUUCGGACUAGCCGGUCUCGUCCUUGCGACGGUAGUCGAACUUGAAGUUUUUGGUUCAUGGGUCUUCGGCGAUGGUAGUCGUUCUAGUCAUCAGGCGUCGAGGUACUUGGCGUUUUUGGCGAUUCCGAAGAGUGGCACAAGUGAGAUGCACAUCCAUGGAGUCUUCAAACUUGGCCUCCGGGUACAGGAUUUGAGGGUCUCGGUGGUGGCCAAACUUGGCAACGUUCACAGAGGCACCGUUGGGGGUGUUCGAUGCACUGAAGGCCGAAGAAGAAACAUGGGAAGGUGGCCAUGGUGGUCUAGCAGCAGCAAGGGCGAUGGAGGUGGGGUGGCGUCGGGAGGCGCGAUGCAGAGGAGGCCGACGGGGCAUGGAGGAGCGGCACGAGAUGAGCAAGCAGCGAGCAGCAGCGGGGGGUUGCGGAGAGGCGAGGUGGAGGAGGAGCUGGCGGCACUGGCUUUGCCGAGGCCGGCAGCAGGCCGCGUCGGUAGCUUUGGUCACCGGCAG